rnacentral:rRNA from 1 species
GACGAACGCUGGCGGCGUGCUUAACACAUGCAAGUCGAGCGGAAAGGCCCUUCGGGGUACUCGAGCGGCGAACGGGUGAGUAACACGUGAGUAACCUGCCCCUAGCUCUGGGAUAGCUCCGGGAAACCGGGAUUAAUACCAGAUACAACCACUCUAGACAUCUGUCGUGGUGGAAAGGAUUCCGGCUAGGGAUGGGCUCGCGGCCUAUCAGCUUGUUGGUGGGGUAACGGCCUACCAAGGCGACGACGGGUAGCCGGCCUGAGAGGGCGACCGGCCACACUGGGACUGAGACACGGCCCAGACUCCUACGGGAGGCAGCAGUGGGGAAUAUUGCGCAAUGGGCGAAAGCCUGACGCAGCGACGCCGCGUGGGGGAUGAAGGCCUUCGGGUUGUAAACCCCUUUCAGCAGGGACGAAGCGAGAGUGACGGUACCUGCAGAAGAAGCGCCGGCUAACUACGUGCCAGCAGCCGCGGUAACACGUAGGGCGCAAGCGUUGUCCGGAAUUAUUGGGCGUAAAGAGCUCGUAGGCGGUCUGUUGCGUCCGCUGUGAAAUCUCGGGGCUUAACCCCGAGCCUGCAGUGGAUACGGGCAGACUAGAGGUAGGUAGGGGAGAAUGGAAUUCCCGGUGUAGCGGUGAAAUGCGCAGAUAUCGGGAGGAACACCGGUGGCGAAGGCGGUUC